AUACUACUCCCUCCGUUCGGAAUUACUUGUCUUGAAAAUGGAUGUAUCUAGAAUUAAAAUACGUCUAGAUAUAUCCAUUUUCGCGACAAGUAAUUCCGAACGGAGGGAGGUAGUAG
rfam:Triticum aestivum genome assembly, contig: Triticum_aestivum_CS42_TGACv1_scaffold_577396_7BL